GCUAAUCAAGGGGAGGAGAAAGACGUGACACUGGCAGAAGCUGUCAAGGGUCUCAGUGAAGCCAAGAUGGAGCUGCGUCGCAAAGAGCAUGCGAUCCGUCAGGUUUCAAAACAGAUGAGCUACAUGGAAAGCGAGAAGAACGCGUUGGCGGACAGACUCGGCGAUGCAGAGAAGACGAUGACGGCUGCGGCUAGG